rnacentral:rRNA from 1 species
CCUACGGGUGGCAGCAGUAGGGAAUAUUGCUCAAUGGGGGAAACCCUGAAGCAGCAACGCCGCGUGGAGGAUGAAGGUUUUCGGAUUGUAAACUCCUUUUGUUAGAGAAGAUAAUGACGGUAUCUAACGAAUAAGAACCGGCGAACUCCGUGCCAGCAGCCGCGGUAAUACGGAGGGUGCAAGCGUUACUCGGAAUCACUGGGCGUAAAGAGCGCGUAGGCGGGAUAGCAAGUCAGAUGUGAAAUCCUAGGGCUUAACCAUAGAACUGCAUUUGAAACUGUUAUUCUAGAGUAUGGGAGAGGUAGGUGGAAUUCUUGGUGUAGGGGUAAAAUCCGUAGAGAUCAAGAGGAAUACUCAUUGCGAAGGCGACCUGCUAGAACAUAACUGACGCUGAUGCGCGAAAGCGUGGGGAGCAAACAGGAUUAGAUACCCGGGUAGUC